AAUAUUGGACAAUGGGCGAAGCCUAAUCCAGCCAUGCCGCGUGCAGGAAGACGGCCCUAUGGGAUGAAAACGCCAUUAUGCGGGAAGAAUAAGGGAUACGUGUAUCCUGGUGACGGUUCCGUAAGAAUAAGGACCGGCUAACUUCGUGCCAGCAGCCGCGGUUAUACGGAGGGUCCGAGCGUUAUCCGGAAUUAUUGGGUUAAAGGGUCCGCAAGCGGGCAAUUAAGUCAGAGGUGAAAUGGUGCGGCUCAACCGUAGCACUGCCUUUGAUACUGGUUGUCUGAGUGGUGGUGGGGUGACCGGAAUAUGUAGUGUAAGGGUGAAAUGCAGAGAUAUUUCAUAGAACCCGGAUCGGGAAGGCAGGUUACUAACCAUUACUGACGCUGAGGACGAAAGCGUGGGGAGCGAAAGGGAUUAGAUACCCCGGUAGUUCACGCCGUA
rnacentral:rRNA from 1 species